rnacentral:rRNA from 1 species
UACAGAGGGGGCAAGCGUUGUUCGGAAUUACUGGGCGUAAAGGGCGCGUAGGCGGCCUGCUAAGUCGAACGUGAAAUCCCUGGGCUCAACCCAGGAACUGCGUCCGAUACUGGUUGGCUUGAAUCCGGGAGAGGGAUGUGGAAUUCCAGGUGUAGCGGUGAAAUGCGUUGAUAUCAUCAGGAAUACCGGAGGCGAAGGCGGCUCACUGGGACCUAACUGACGCUGAGGAACGAAAGCUAGGGGAGCAAACGGG